CGCGGGGUGAGGAAAUGGUAUCCGGUCGGGCUCAUAACCCGUCAAUGCCGGUUCGAGUCCGGCCUCCGCUA
rnacentral:tRNA from 1 species